GCUGGGUAUAGUAAUGCAUACCUGUAAUCCCAGCUACUUGGGAGGCUGAGGCAGGAGGAUCACUUCAGCCCAGGAGUUCGGGGCUGCAGUGAGCUAUGAUUGUGCCACUGCAUUCCAGCCUGGGUGACAAACCAAGACCCUGUCUCUA
rnacentral:SRP_RNA from 2 species